UACGGGGGGGGGCAAGCGUUGUUCGGAAUUACUGGGCGUAAAGGGUGCGUAGGUGGUCGGGUAAGUCUCAUGUGAAAUCCCGCAGCUUAACUGCGGAACGGCAUGGGAUACUAUUCGGCUCGAGGAUUGGAGGGGGGACUGGAAUUCCCGGUGUAGCAGUGAAAUGCGUAGAUAUCGGGAGGAACACCAGUGGCGAAGGCGAGUCCCUGGACAAUUCCUGACGCUGAGGCACGAAAGCCAGGGGAGCAAACGGG
rnacentral:rRNA from 1 species